CUUCCCUGGGGCUCGCUCCGGAUCAGGCGCCUGCGCCCUCAGGGGCACCCCGACUGCCAAAUUUGCGCCCCUCCUGGGACUGUUUGAGAGAAGGACAAACUUUUGAACGGAUUAAAAAUCAAGAGGAGUCCGUCUGGGGCAGGUGAGCCGGGCUCUGGAGGGGUGCGUGCGUUUCCGCCUGAGGACAAUCUGUCUCUCCUCUCUCUGUCUCUCUCCUCCUUACUCCAUCCCGCUUCCCCUACCGGCAGAUACUAAUCUGCCCACCCUUGGAGGAAUUUGGGUUGGGGCAGGGCAUCUGUCAAAUAAAUGGGUCCAGAGCGACUUUCCUCCCCCGAGUUUGGGGACUCCAGUGGCAGCUGGCAGAGGUAGGAGGAUUACUUGUGAAACUGGGGAGGACGGGAGAAAUUGGGGGCCUGGAGACCCAAAGAGUCUGGUUUCUUCUUUCCCCAACAGCAACUUGGCGGAAACUUCAGGAAAGUUUUUUGAAGGAAGGUGGAGAAGAGAGUAGAGUUGGGGUUUUGACGCUUAAUGUGGGAAGGAGGGCUGCGGCGAUCCCCAUAACUGGAGGAAGGAUCUGUUUGCUUAUCUCCCAGUCAGGGUGAAUUGUCAGUGUCCCGAACCUGCUCACCCAGCAAACUCUUAGAGACGCUUGGAGAUCCCCCACAGGGUCUCCCGGCGGAAAGGGAGAGAAGUACUAGCCGAAAAUAGUUUCCCACUCUGCUGGGGUGGGGGGCGGGGUUAUCAGUCUAGAGCCUCAGCUCUGGAAGACCUCGCCCCUGCUGCCCCGGGACCUUUCGCGGGCAUUAUUUUAAGUUAAUAAUGACACGAGAGAGGGAACAACUCCCACAUUUCUUCUUCUUUUCCUUGUAAACCCAUUUUGAUCCAGAGACCCAUCUCCUUAAGAUGAAGUCAGAGGAGUGCUUCUCCCCUCCACCCCCCACCCCCAGCACAAUCUUCCUACUUUCUCCAGCGCUCAAGGGAGGGCAAAGAGAUGAGCCCCUUACCCAGUUCCGGAGCUGAGAUUGCCCCUCAUCUACACACAAGAGAAGUCCUGGGAGGAAGAGAUGGCUCUUCUAAAAGGAGUCAAGUUGCAGAGGGUGGGUUGGGAAGGCGCGACUGAACUUGGGGGUCCCCGGGUUGAGAGUGGGGGGAGUAGGCAAGCCAGGGCGGGGGCUUGCGGCGUGAUCUGGGAAAGCAGGUGAGGGCGGAGGCCGCUGCAGGUGCACUGGCAGGGCGGGGCGGGGUGGGGGGGUAACUCUCAGAGCCCUGUGUUCUUGGAAGGGGAGGCCCGGCCCAAACCGGAUGGUCUCCGUUGCACCGGAGGUUUGUGCGUCCUGCCCUAAAAAACCAGGCAGGCUGCUGAGGGCAAAUUUGAACCAGUUCUUGGAAAGGGCCAGGAGGGGUUGUGCAUCCCAGGAGGGACAAUUCCCACGCCAGCGCGUGGUGUCCCUGGCCCCUGCCCAGCCCGAACUUCCAGAGGCUGCUUGGCCCUGCUCUGUUAGGAGCUGCAGAAUCGCCCAGGCCUUUGUUUUCGCUGCGCCCGGGGUUUUUCUGCUGGUGAUGCAGCGGCUGGCUGUCCGGCACCUGCUCCUACCCGAGCCCCCGGAAUUGGGCCCUCCUGGCUAAGAGGUUUAGGAGGGUCGCAGCCCCGCACUGCCUAGGGACCUGGUCUUGAGAAGGACUAUCCAGGGGCAGACAUGAAGGUGAUUGAUACCCAAACUAAGCCCUUUUCUUUCCUCCCGUUCUGUGGCCCUACCACCUCUCCAGCCCAGAGGACUUGAGUGGAAGGUCUCGGGCUGCCCCAAUCCCAGAGCUGAUAGGGGAGCUGCCUAGGCGCUGGGUGCACCAAGAGGAGGUGCCUGGCUCUGGGCUUUGUCCCCCUCUUGAUGAAUCCAGUCUUGUUUUGCCCCUACCUCCCCAACACUCCCCCUACCUCCUCCCAUAAUCUGCGGGGUUCUCUCUCUUUUACUCUUCCCUUUCUUUUCUUCCUCUUUCUCUUUUUUAUUAGGAUUGAUGGAGAGACAACAAUUUGGCAAGGCUCCUCUAAGCCUGUAGUGGGGAGCUGUGGACUCAGCCCUGACUUCCCAACUAGGGGGAACCGUCCCAUUCCUGGGCCCUUGCAUUUGGCCCCCAAGUUGGGGGGAAGUCGACAAAGAAUGGCAUGAAGGAUGGCUGGCCUGACACAGGACAGAGCCCCAGCUUGAGGAGGGGGCAGUUUUAGGCUAAAUUUCCAUUGCAGAGAGAGGACUUAGAAACAAAGGAAAGAAGGUUGAGGAAACAGCACAAAGGACUAGAAAAUUUGAGAACCACAAAGAUAAAAGACCAGCGAGGGAAGAAAAGAUUCGAAAAAGCCCCAGCGCUGGGGACAGAGGAAGGGCCUCCCGGAGGCUGAGUGGGAGAGAAGUGAAGAUGAAAAAAUUUUGAUAAGAGACAGAACAAAGGUGCAGGAUUCGCCUGUUUUGUGAGGGGGGGGAAACGAAGGGAAGGGAAAGCAAAGGGGUGAAAGGAGGGAGCUAGAAAGUAAAAGAAAAGGGAAGGAAACAAGAAAGAAAAAAGUAAAAGCAACAGAAGACAGAAAGAGAAAGGGGGGAAAGGGGAGAAGAAAAGAAGGAAGGUGAAGGAAGGGAAGAAUAUAGAGAAAAAAACAGCGAAGGUGGGGCAGAAAGAGAACAAAAGAAGGGGGGGAAUGAGAAAUAAAGAGAGAAAAAGAAAAGGAGAGCCGGAAACCAGCCUAACAGAAAGGGGAUCCUGAUUUGGAGAUGCACAGGGAAGGAAGGAGGAGGGAGAGAGGCCACGGUGGCCCAGCCAGGGUCUCCCAGGCGCCCGGGCGCCCUACUGGCUUCCCCUGGGGCUACCUGGGCCCUGGCCUCCCACCCCGGCUGCCCAGGACCCCAGUGGUGCCCCGGAGGGAGGUGGGGGUUCAGCCGUCCCCUUGCGCCCAGCUUCUCCCAGGAGAAGCAGCUGACUGAGCUGGAAGAAGGACUUCUUCCUGCAGCCAUGCCAGCCUCAAACCCAGCACAGCGGGCCUGGAGGCGCAGCAGGUCAAGAUCUGGUUCCAAAACCAGAACGCGGAGCCGAAGAGGCGGUUUAGAGAUGGGGGGUACCGGUGGCCACACCGCCCUGGCUUCUCUCCUCGCCCCCAGCCCCGAGAGCCUCCACCCUGACCUUGCUGGCAGAGGCUGGCUGCAGACUGACUGCUUUUGUUCCGCCCUGUGACCUUGGGCCUCAGUGUGAUCUUAGGUCAAAUGAGUCCUUUGUGCUGGAGGGAUCUUCUGUAAUUCUGGUUGGCCUGUCUGUAUUUGCGCGGGGGGAGAGAGGGGUGAAGAUGAGGCCUGGUCCUCCCCAGCAAGGGCAUGUUCAUUGGUGAGAAGAAAAAUCCUCCUUUGCCAUCCUUCUCUCUCUCCAUGCCCCAGAAAACUUCCUGCCAGGGCACAGGGUUUCUCUACACCAGAAAGGAUUGUGUGAACUUGUAAAGAGCUCGGCAUGAGGUUGUCCAGUGCUGGAGGAACCGGAGAAGGAACCUCAGUUUUGAAAGAGAAUGAGGACGUUUCCUACAGGGGCAAGUGGAGUUGAGCUUUGCAGGAUAUAGCACUGAACUCACACACACAAAGACGUUAAUUGGCAAAGGGGCUUUAGACUGCGCUGCAGAGGAAUGAACUUGGGGUUAUUGUGUGUCUGUGGCGCGUGGGGCCUACACUCCCACGCCCCGUUCAUUUGCGCCGGGGACAACUGCCCAGUUUGAUUCAGAGGGUCUCUUAAAGCCAAUUAGGUAACUCCUUUGUUUCCCAGGAGUGCAGACGGAACACUGCCAUUGGGUUCUCCUUGCUGCCUUGGCCUCUGCCCGUUUCUGCUUGCUGUUGUUUUCUGCCUCACUGAGGGGUUGGGGGGGGGGAGGGGGACAGGAAAAUAAAAUGUCCCUCCACAUUCCCCUAGUCUUCCCUGUACCCUACCCCCACCAAAUCUUCUAGCUGCUGACGGUAAUGAACUCCCAGGAGUGCAGAGGGGACAGUGGCUGAGAUCAGCCAGAUCUUCCAAGGGCAGCACGAGCCUUGGGGAUGGGCUUGAGGGACCUUCACAUGGCCAGCUGGUGUCCACAGUAAGCCUUGCAGCCCCUCUCAGGCGGGGGCCGGGGGGGCUCGGUCCAGUGCUUCCCAGCACUGCGCUUCUAGACUUCCUCCCCUUCUCUCAAGCUAAUUCUUUCCUUCAUUUCCUCCCCCCCCUCUCUCUCUUGCUCCCUUCCCUCCUCCUUCCUGUUCUUUAGGUUCUCUCUUUCCUUUAUCAUCUAGCCCAGGCUGGGACUCUUGUACUCUCUUUGUGCCCCCUGCCCUGAGGCUUUGCUGUGGGAACUUCAGGCAGGCUAAUAACCUGAGGCCUGCCCUCAGGAGUUCAUGAUGUGGAUGCAGUAUUGGGACUGGGAGAUGAGGGGCAAAAUGGGGGGUAAGCUUUGCUAAUCAGGUGCGGGAUGAAUCAACUGGUUUUCUCUAUCAGUUGUGAUUGAUAGAGACCACAUCCCAGUGGCUCAUCCCAGGAAAUCUUCCCCCACCUCACCGAUCUGCUGGCCUGCCCCUGCCCACGGGGGUGGGGUUGCUGGUGUCCCCAAGGCCAUUCUCUCCCAGGGCGAGUGAGGGCCUCCAAGAGCGCCCCUUGCCUCAGUAGAUGGGGGUGCUGGGGGUGGGGGAAGAGAGGUCAGUGAUGCCAGGUCAAAGCCUCAAACUAUUAAAGAAGCAAAGCCUGUUUCCCUGUUCCCGAUGCAUUUUAGGGGUCCUCUUUCCCUUGGAUGGAGAGGCUGCUCCUCUCUUGGCUCUUGGCUAUCUGUCCGAGGAACACACCCCUUGAUUAGCCAGGCCCGCAGCCAUCCCCAUCUGCUCUGCUGAGAAGGGAGGCCACUCAUUCCAGGCCUUGGUGGAAGGGAUACAGACUGCCCAACGCAGCUUCCUUGCCUCAACUGGCCCCUCAGGGAAGGUGGGAACCUCCUUCACUUCGCAGGAUCCGGAAUCUCGGCCGGCAGAGCGGACAGCCGCGCUCUGGAGCCUGACGCGGAAGAAGUUUCUGCCAUUGCGCUCUCCUUGCUGUCUCAGCCUCUGCCCAUGUCUGCGUGCUGUUGUGUUCUCCCUCACUGAGGGAAAUAAAAUGUCCCUCCCCACUCCCCUAGUCAUUCCCUGUACCCUACCCCCACCAAACCUUCUAGCUGCUGACGGUAAUGAACUCCAGCUUCCAGCCUUGCUCAUAAGCUACUCACAGUGAAUUCAAAUUCUCUUCUGGGCAGGAGGGAGGACAGAUGCUCCUUCCUCGGUCCUCCCUUGCUCAGUGAUCCAUUUUGAAGGCCUUUUGGGGUCAAAGUCAGACCAGGUUGCUUCCAUUGGUAUAAAAUUAGCAUCUUAAAAAAAUCACACCCAGAUUUCUAGCAUCCCAGAAUAGAAGUCUUGGAGCACCUGGCUGGCUCAUUCAGUGGAGCAUGUGAGUCUUGAUCUCAGGGUCGUGAGUUCAAGCCCACAUUGGGCAUAGAAAUUACUUAAUAAUAAUAAUAAAAAAAAAGGAAUAGAAGGUCUUUACCCAGACCCACACCUCUUCUCUGGCCUUUCAAACCCGUUGAUGAUAUAAAGGCUUGUGGCGGUGGAGGAACAGAAGGGAAAUGAGCAAUUUCCUCCAUCUAAAAGUCAGUCGUUUCAGCUGGUCAUUCUACUGUAUUUAUUUAGUACUUACUAUGUGUAAAGCAUCACCCCGACCUCAGUUUGUCAUGACUGUCGAAAGCAAUUCUUGCCCCUAUAAGGCUUCACUGUGUGUGGACAGAUCUACAAAUAAACAAAUCAAUGGAAAAGAAAGUCUGGACUCAGGCUGAUUUUGACUGCAGCCUUCUAUGCACCUGGUCUCAGAGCCCCUGGCUUCCCAGCUCCCACUGCCCAGACCCAGUCGGUGCAAAGACAGGACGGCCCUGGGUCUCCUCUGUUUCCCCCACUGGAAAAAUACCAGAAUGGGGAGCGAGAAACAUGCACUGGGAUUGGCAGACAGGAAAGCCCUGAAAUAAAGGGUUGAGGGUCAGCAAAAGAGCCCUCCGUAGGUACCUUUCCAUCCUCGAGGUGUGCAUUGUUGCUGUGCAGGGUGACGUGUUUCUCUGGGUUGCUUAGCCGACUUAGGGUUUGCCUUGGUGCAAUCACGUGCCUGAAGGUGACAGCAAGGGUGUGCAUAUGCAAGUGAGCUCAAGGGUGGGGGGGAGGUGGACAAGCAUUUCUGCACCAGGCUUGUGUGCACUGGGCCCAGACGCCCGCACGGGAGCAGGUGCGUGUGUGCGCGUGCGUGCUGGGGGCCAGGCUGCACACAGAUCCGAACAUAUCUCUGCAUACAUGACCCUCUGUGUAUGCAAGAGUGUGUGUACCCGCUGAAUUAUUAUAAAAUUACCCUGACCCUUACAGAAAAUCCAUACCAGCCUCGGCCUUUCUCCCCCGACCUCUCGACCUCUGGGGUGCCUGAGGAAAGAGCUGACCCGGUCACUGCCUCCCCCAGUCAACGAGUCUCUCUCCAUUAGCAUAAAACAUGAAUCUGCUGGCAGCUUGACAAAUUAUAACUAGCAGCCAGAGUUUUGCCAACUGGCUGGCUUGGGCGCUGUCUAUUUAUCAUUGAAAAUGGUAAAUCAUAAGAAUCCAGAUGACUUAAUUAUUCAAAUCCACCCAGGACCCAGAGAGCCCGCAGUCCCGUCAGUCCCUGGGCUCAGGGAGAGGGCAAGAGGACGGGUGCCGGAAACUUAGGGGCUGGGAGACGCGGGGUCUUUCUCUGCAGCUCUUGCCUGCCCCGCCUGCCUGUCCCUGUCCCCAGCCAGUUUUGGCCGCUGACCCUCCCAAGACUCUCCCUUCCCCGCCUCCGGCCGCCUGCCACACGUUCCCCUGACUCACACAUGGACGUUUCCCUGCCUGUCUUUGUGUGGGUCUCUGUUAGUUUGCUCUCUCUUUCAGUGCCUUCGUUUUUAUUUCUUCUCUUUCUCACAUUCUCUUCGCCGUCUCUCUCUCUCUCCCCUCUCCCUACGAUGGAUGCUGAGCUCCCCUACCCCUCACGUAACUAACUUCUCUGAUGGAGGUUUGCCUGCACUCCUGCCCCCUUUGUUUCUAGUGUCUCAGGUGCCCACUCGGGAUCCCCACGGACACACGCCGCACCACCCCUAACCCAGCGCCGGAGCCCUGGAAGGUGUGAAUUCUUUCCUCCUGGGAGCCACGCGGAAGCACAAGUGUCAUGGAUGACCUCAGGCCUGCUCUGCCUUUCGCCCCCACCCCCAUACACACAACCUUUCUUCUGUGGGUUUCUGCACAGCUGGGGAGAUAGCGGACACGCUAUCACAGACAUAUGCCCCAGGGGGAGGCAGGACUGUGUGCCAAGAAGGCCCACCUCGGGGCUGCCCCCUUUUUCUCAACGCAGAACCACCUCAAAGCCUAGCAGAGGGAUGGCUCAGUGUGAGUUUUCCCAGAAAAAGAGAGAAUCUGUUUGCAGAACAAAUUCUACAUCCCGAGGUCUUCACACAGAGCUUCUGGGGUCCCUUUGAUUUCUGGGUCCUUUUAUCUUUGCGUC
rnacentral:lncRNA from 1 species